AUGGGUCUCAUUGCUCUUGAACUCCAACAGAGGGGCGGGCCGGGGCGCCGCCGCCGCCGCUGGAAGCUCACCGCCGGCUUCCCCGCAGCCGACCCAGCGGACCCGGUGACGCUGUAUGCCGUGGUGGACGGCGUGCCCCCGUCGCGCUGGAAGGAGUUCGUGCGGCGGCUGGGGCUGAGCGAGCACGAGAUCGAGCGGCUGGAGCUGCAGAACGGGCGCUGCCUCCGGGAGGCGCACUACAGCAUGCUGGCGGCCUGGCGGCGGCGCAUGCCGCGGCGCGAAGCCACGCUGGAGCUGCUGGGCCGCGUGCUCCGCGACAUGGACCUGCUCGGCUGCCUGGAGGACAUCGAGGAGGCGCUGUGUGCCCCCGCCUCCGUCUCGCCGGCGCCCCGCCUCCUGCGAUGAGGCCACGCCCCGCCCCGGCAGGGGCCUGCCCUGAGGACCGAUGCCUUCUGGCGGGGCUGCCUGGAAAGACCGUGCAAAAUGCCCUUCGGACCCUUUUUUCUGGACAGGGGCCUUGGAAGGGCAGGCAUGGCUGUCAGCCACCUACUUGGUGCUACUCUCUCAGUGUACAUAGAUUUUCUCAGCUGCCGGAGCACUGCCAGAGGCUCAGCCUUGUGUGUGUGACAGGCGUCUGUGUGUGUGUGUGUGUGUGUGUGUGUGUGUGAUCCUGAGAGUGGCUGAGUGUGCCAGGAGCCCAAGCUUGUGGCUGCAGAGACACGGCCCAUUUUGGGUUUGGAGAACCAAACAAGGCAGCUUAGGGGCCUCUGGUUGGUCCCUGGGCCUUUUUCACAGUAGAUAAGCAAUUUUUGUAUCAAUUAUGUUACACUAAUAGAAACUGGGCACUCCUCUGCCCGCUGUUUGGACAAGCACAGAGUGAGCUGACCUGUCCGAAGGCAGGGGUGAGCACAGAACAAUGGGGCCGCCAGCUGGAGCUGUGGACUUUUGUAAAUACACUAAAACUCUGGAAUUAAAGCUCUGCUCCUGGA